rnacentral:rRNA from 1 species
AGUGAACGCUGGCGGUAGGCCUAACACAUGCAAGUCGAACGGCAGCACAGGAGAGCUUGCUCUCUGGGUGGCGAGUGGCGGACGGGUGAGGAAUACAUCGGAAUCUACCUUUUCGUGGGGGAUAACGUAGGGAAACUUACGCUAAUACCGCAUACGACCUACGGGUGAAAGUGGGGGACCGCAAGGCCUCACGCGAUUAGAUGAGCCGAUGUCCGAUUAGCUAGUUGGCGGGGUAAUGGCCCACCAAGGCGACGAUCGGUAGCUGGUCUGAGAGGAUGAUCAGCCACACUGGAACUGAGACACGGUCCAGACUCCUAAGGGAGGCAGCCGUGGGGAAUAUUGGACAAUGGGCGCAAGCCUGAUCCAGCCAUACCGCGUGGGUGAAGAAGGCCUUCGGGUUGUAAAGCCCUUUUGUUGGGAAAGAAAUCCUGUCGAUUAAUACUCGGUGGGGAUGACGGUACCCAAAGAAUAAGCACCGGCUAACUUCGUG